rnacentral:rRNA from 1 species
UACGGGGGGGGCAAGCGUUGUUCGGAAUUACUGGGCGUAAAGGGCUUGUAGGUGGCCAACUAAGUCGAACGUGAAAUCCCCGGGCUCAACCCGGGAACUGCGUCCGAUACUGGAAGGCUUGAAUCCGGGAGAGGGAUGUGGAAUUCCAGGUGUAGCGGUGAAAUGCGUAGAUAUCUGGAGGAACACCGGUGGCGAAGGCGACAUCCUGGACCGGUAUUGACGCUGAGGCGCGAAAGCCAGGGGAGCAAACGGG